AGUGGGGAAUAUUGGACAAUGGGCGAAAGCCUGAUCCAGCAAUGCCGCGUGAGUGAUGAAGGCCUUAGGGUUGUAAAGCUCUUUUACCAGGGAUGAUAAUGACAGUACCUGGAGAAUAAGCUCCGGCUAACUCCGUGCCAGCAGCCGCGGUAAUACGGAGGGAGCUAGCGUUGUUCGGAAUUACUGGGCGUAAAGCGCGCGUAGGCGGUGACUCAAGUCAGAGGUGAAAGCCCGGGGCUCAACCCCGGAACUGCCUUUGAAACUAGGUCGCUAGAAUCUUGGAGAGGUCAGUGGAAUUCCGAGUGUAGAGGUGAAAUUCGUAGAUAUUCGGAAGAACACCAGUGGCGAAGGCGACUGACUGGACAAGUAUUGACGCUGAGGUGCGAAAGUGUGGGGAGCAAACAGGAUUAGAUACCCUGGUAGUCCACACCGUAAACGAUGAUAACUAGCUGUCCGGGCUCUUGGAGUUUAGGUGGCGCAGCUAACGCAUUAAGUUAUCCGCCUGGGGAGUACGGUCGCAAGAUUA
rnacentral:rRNA from 1 species